rnacentral:rRNA from 1 species
AACGAACGCUGGCGGCAGGCCUAACACAUGCAAGUCGAACGCCCUAGCAAUAGGGAGUGGCGCACGGGUGCGUUAACGCGUGGGAAUAUGCCCUUCACUGCGGAAUAACGUUUGGAAACGAACGCUAAUACCGCAUAAUGACUCCGGUCCAAAGAUUUAUCGGUGAAGGAUUAGCCCGCGUUAGAUUAGCUAGUUGGUGAGGUAAUGGCUCACCAAGGCGACGAUCUAUAGCUGGUCUGAGAGGAUGAUCAGCCACACUGGGACUGAGACACGGCCCAGACUCCUACGGAGGCAGCAGUGAGGAAUAUUGGACAAUGGGCGCAAGCCUGAUCCAGCCAUGCCGCGUGAGUGAAGAAGGCC